AAAAAAAUUCUUGACAUGUUGCCAAAAGACAGAGAAUGGUGAUAUGUCUACAGAUUUGAGCAAAUUUAGUACCAAGUUACUGUCUUUUGUAAGCAAUUAUACAAUCUGUGAGGUGUAGAAUCUCUGCUAUAAUCUAUGAGGUAUCUUUAACAAUCAGACAGCUCUAGCAUUAAGGGAGUAAAAGACUGUGUGACCUUGGAAAAUUGUCUUUUACUGUCCAAAAGGAAAUCACCCAGGAAGACAUGGAUAAGUGGAGAAAGCCAAGCAAAUUGGAAUGUUCUAUUAUCCAAAUAAAAUCAAUAACUGAGAACCAUAUAAAUAGACGGGUGAAUCAAUUAUAGUCUACGAAUUAAAAUUAUGAAUCUAGAACAUUCUGCUAGUUGAGAUAAAUAUGUGAGUAUAUUUAUAAUGAGACAAGGAAUACUGUUCCCUUUUUUAUUUUUAUUUUGUUUAUAUAUGCUUUGAGAUUUUAUAUCUGUAUACAAAAUAUUUUGACUUUGUUAUUUCUUUCCUUCAUAUUUCCCUCCCACCUCAAACAUUUGCUCUUCUUCCCAAUUUCUCCUUCCACUCUUAUAUUUGCUUUUUGUUAAAGAAUGUAUCUAUCUAUUUAAAACUUUACAGGUAUGAGUGUUUGUCUGCACAUCUGUGUGUACACCACAUGCCUGCCUUGUGCUCAGGGCAGCCACAGGAGAGUGGCAAAUCAAAUAGAACUAAAAUUACAAGUGGUUUUGAACUGCAUUGUAGGUGCUGGAGAUUGAUAUCUAAGUCUUCUGCAAGAAAAGCAAGUAACCUUAAAAGUUAUGCUAUCUAUCUCUCCAGGCUCCAAAACUACCGCUUUUCAUCCUCUUCUUCCUCAUCAUCCACUUUAUCAUUCCUUUCCCUUCUAACAAAUUGAGUAGAAUUAGAUUUGCAAGUGUUGUGUGUGGUGGUACACACCUUUAACCCCAGAUAUCAGGAUAUAGAAGAAGGCCUAUGUCUGACCUUGAACUCUAGGGAACUAGUUUCAGGAUAGCCAGGGUUACACAGAAAAAUCAUGUCUCAAAAAACCAAAACCACAAAACAAACCAACAAACAAAAAUCAUUAGAGCUGUACAUAUAUUCUUUUGUAUAAGGACAUUCAGUGUAACUGAAACAACUUACCCAUGGCCACCCCUGAAGAAAAGUGACUCUACCUACCACAAAAGCCAUAUAACAAGGUAGAGCAGCUGGGGUUCAUGUAUUCCACCCUGAACCAUACUAGAAUCUUUACUGAGUUGAUCUUGUGCAGGGUUUGGGCAGGAACUUGCAGCAGCUGUUAUGUUCAUGAGUGCAGUGGCUCUGAAAUAUACAGACAACAGAAGUGCGUCAGAGUGUUUCCUAACCUCUUACAAACAGUAUAACCUCUCAUCAAGCAUAUUUCCCAAGACAUUGGAAGCAGGGCUGAUACUGAAUUCAUUCUGAGAGUGAGCACUCUACAGGUACUUACUCUCUGCACUUUUACUAGAUGUAAGCUCCUGUAUUUGUCAGCCCUUAAUGCAGUAAAAAGGUUUUCUGACGAGGGAUGAAAGCUGCACAAAUCAGUGGGCCAUAAAGUUUACAAAAAGGGUCAAUGAUUAGUCCAUUUAGCAAAUAACAGUAGUAGGUUCUCCCUGGGGUAUAUGAUGUCCCCAAACGUGGUAUAAAGUACUGGGUAGAGUUCCAUCCUAUAGAGCUGACCUUAAACACAGUGCAGAAUGCUUUCACUCAUCAUUCUUUUGAGUACCUUUCUUUAACAAUCAUAUUGAUUUUACAGGGUUUAGAGGAGCAAUCUUAAAUUGUGGCAGUCAGGGCAUACUCUCCUGGUUACUUGAUUAGGCUAACAGCAUAAAGUUUAAUUAUGAGUCAACUGAUCAGAAAAAGUGAAAAACAAAAGUAUUUCUGUUAUUCCUGACAAGGGUGCAGAGAUUGAGUUUAUAUUUGGAUUUAGCACAUCCAAUAUAAUGGAAUUCUUAGCAUAAAUACAAAUCAAUAAAGUAAGCAAUCAUUGAAAGUAAGGGGGUUUUCUUUUGGAGUAUAGAUUAUAAGUUAUAUAUCUCUUUGAAAUAUGAAUGUAUCUUUUAUUGUUUUUUAAAGAUUAAUAUCAAUAUAUUUCGACAUUAACUUCAAUAACCCUUUUGAGGCUAAGUAAGACCUUUGCUAGCAUUUAGGUACAAAGGUAUCUAUGUCAAGAACCAGAAGAACCAUUCCCUUAAAAUAUAACAAUAACUUAAAAUAGCUCCCUAUCUCUCAGGGUCUAUAAUAGCAGAGCAGUCUAAAAAGGAGGAUAGGCACUUCACUCCAAGAGGUAAAGCUACCUCCUUUCCAUAAACACAUUAGAAGUUCAUUUUCUUUCCCCCCUGGGUAACAUCAAUUAGCAAACACAGAUGGUCACUCACUCUUACUAACAAGUAACUUUAGUAUAAACUAUGUGUUUAUAACUAAAGUUGCUUCUGAUUGGAUACCUUAUCCAAAGACUAGUAAUCAUUUUCAAACCAGAAUGGGUGACAUAUGUUCAUUAUCGAAAAUAAUUUUCUUCUGACCAAGAAAUAAGUUAAUUGGAUUACCUGGGAUAUAGAUCACAUUCUGUUUUAACACUUACUCAAUAAUCAAAUGAAAAUUGUUUUCUCUCUCUGCUACUUUCAGGGAGAUAUCUGGGCUGAGAAGAGAUUUGAUUUUUUUUUAAUUUAUCUAUUUUUUGAGAAUUUCAUAAAAGACUACAAAACAUAAUUAGUGUUGUGUAUAUAUACAUGUGUUUAAAGCUGACCACGGGAUUUAAUAACCUAUCAGGAGCUUGUGUCCAGCAAAUCUGAUUCUCUCUCUCACUCUCUCAGCUUUUCAUCUAGGGUUGAAUAUUCGUAAAAUUUCUCCAUCCACAUUGGGAUCCGCUGGCGUUGCCAUUGUUAGGGUUUUGCUUCGCAACCACACUGUUGAGAUUUCACAGGGGCAGCUUCCCUGGUAUGUCUGAAAGAGUUCAUCAAGUAGCAGGACUACUAGUCUUCUGAUUCUUUUAAUCUUUCCACCUUCUCUCACGUAAUAUUUUCUGAAACUUACGCAUGGUGCUUGCAUGGUAGAUGUAGCAACUGGAGCUGAAAACACUGUUGUCAGUCCUCUUUUGCAUUUUACCACUAUAGAAAGCAAAUCCUACUCCAAAGCUCACAAAUAGCUGACUUUUCACCAAAAUCCUUUGUGAAAUAGAUGACCAAUGAUCAUUAAAUAUCUAGUAUUGAUAAAAGCAAAUUAUAAUAACACAAUAAGAUAUUAAAUUUUAUCUAAUGACCCUCUAGAUGGUAAACAUAUGAGAAUUAAGAGUUUGAAAUGAUUAAGAUCUGAAACACUCCUGCAGGUUAAGGCUGUGAGUGUCCGCUCUCCAGUAGGUAGUGUUAUUAGAAGAACCUGUAAAACCUGUAGGAUAUCAGGUUUGGUAGCAAAAAUAGGUCAUUAAGGGUCAACAUUCAAAGGUACAACCCCAUCUCCCAUCUGUCUCUAAUUUAACCUGUUGUGAUGUAACACCAAGACUUCUGUAUCUUCUCCAUGUGAUGUAUAAAAGCCCUAUGAAUUAUUUAGC
rnacentral:lncRNA from 1 species